UUUUUCCUCAUUCUGACAAUCUCUUUUGUGACAGCAUUUUUACUUCUUCACGCUAUUUCUUUCUUUCCUUUUCAUCUUAAUACGUCUUCAUUUUCCCACACAAUGAUCCAUGUGUCUCUAACUUUCUCUUCAUGAAACUUUACUAUUUUUGUGAAAUGUAUGGUUCUUAAAAUUUUGGGAAUUUUUGUCUUCUGUUUUGUUUGAGUUUUGAAUGAUUUUGAGGUUCGGGUUGUUGGUUGGACUUAGGCGGCAUAGGCAUCUUCUUCAUCAACUAAUGAUUCACCGGAGGUGAAGGACGUGGUAAGUGAUGCUGUGGCGAAGAAAUGUUUGAGGGAUGAAGUUCGAUGUGUUGAUUUGGCCAAUAGUGAUAGUACGAAGCAGUCGGAAGUGAUCAUAUCGUUGGAGGCGGUGAUGGAAGGUGGGCCUCGAUUUCUCCGAUAACUAUAGGGAUGAGCAUUUGCCGAUAGUCGUAAAGAUUUAUUUGUAGAGAUGAAAGCUGUAGACCUCUUGCUUAACUUUUGCUGUAAUGACUGUAUUUGGUAUGAACUUCCCCAAGCGUACUUGUCGUUCUUUGCACAUGAACUCCUUUCUGAUAAGAGCCGAGAAGAUAUUCCUCCGAUAAGUGACUAUUACCUUGUUUUAAGGGUGUGAAGCUAUGAUUAAAUCUGUUUGGUCCAUCAUUUGU